GGAGAGAUAGCGAAGUGGCUAAACGCGGCUGACUGUAACUCAGUUCCUUUUGGUUCGGUGGUUCGAAUCCACCUCUCUCCACCA
rnacentral:tRNA from 1 species